CCUACGGGGGGCAGCAGUGGGGAAUAUUGGACAAUGGGGGGAACCCUGAUCCAGCCAUGCCGCGUGUGUGAAGAAGGCCCUCGGGUUGUAAAGCACUUUCAGUGAGGAAGAACGCCUGGUGGUUAAUACCCAUCAGGAAAGACAUCACUCACAGAAGAAGCACCGGCUAACUCCGUGCCAGCAGCCGCGGUAAUACGGAGGGUGCGAACGUUAAUCGGAAUUACUGGGCGUAAAGCGCGCGUAGGUGGCUUGAUAAGCCGGUUGUGAAAGCCCCGGGCUCAACCUGGGAACGGCAUCCGGAACUGUCAAGCUAGAGUGCAGGAGAGGAAGGUAGAAUUCCCGGUGUAGCGGUGAAAUGCGUAGAGAUCGGGAGGAAUACCAGUGGCGAAGGCGGCCUUCUGGACUGACACUGACACUGAGGUGCGAAAGCGUGGGUAGCAAACAGGAUUAGAUACCCCUGUAGUC
rnacentral:rRNA from 1 species